rnacentral:rRNA from 1 species
UACGGGGGGGGCAAGCGUUGUUCGGAAUUACUGGGCGUAAAGGGCGUGAAGGCGGCCAACUAAGUCGGAUGUGAAAUCCCCAGGCUCAACCUGGGAACUGCAUCCGAUACUGGAUGGCUUGAAUUCGGGAGAGGGAUGCAGAAUUCCAGGUGUAGCGGUGAAAUGCGUAGAUAUCUGGAGGAAUACCGGUGGCGAAGGCGGCAUCCUGGACCGACAUUGACGCUGUGGCGCGAAAGCUAGGGGAGCAAACGGG